UUUUACUUUAGUGGCGGACGGGUGAGUAACGCGUGGGUAACCUGCCUUAUACAGGGGGAUAACACUUAGAAAUAGGUGCUAAGACCGCAUAAGCGCCCAGGGCCGCAUGGCCCAGGGUGAAAAACUCCGGUGGUAUAAGAUGGGCCCGCGUCUGAUUAGCCAGUUGGCAGGGUAACGGCCUACCAAAGCGACGAUCAGUAGCCGGCCUGAGAGGGUGGACGGCCACAUUGGGACUGAGACACGGUCCAAACUUAAACGGGAGGCAGCAGUGGGGGAUAUUGCACAAUGGGGGAAACCCUGAUGCAGCGACGCCGCGUGAGUGAAGAAGUAUUUCGGUAUGUAAAGCUCUAUCAGCAGGGAAGAAAGAAGACGGUACCUGAGUAAGAAGCCCCGGCUAACUACGUGCCAGCAGCCGCGGUAAUACGUAGGGGGCAAGCGUUAUCCGGAUUUACUGGGUGUAAAGGGAGCGUACACGGCAAGGCAAGCCUGGAGUGAAAGGCGGGGGCCCAACCCCCGGACUGCUCUGGGAACUGUCUAGCUAGAGUGCAGGAGGGGUAAGUGGAAUUCCUAG
rnacentral:rRNA from 1 species